rnacentral:misc_RNA from 1 species
UACGGAGGUGGCAAGCGUUAUCCGGAAUCAUUGGGUUUAAAGGGUCCGUAGGCGGGUCAAUAAGUCAGUGGUGAAAGUCUGCAGCUCAACUGUAGAAUUGCCAUUGAUACUGUUAACCUUGAGUAAUUAUGAAGUGGUUAGAAUAUGUAGUGUAGCGGUGAAAUGCAUAGAUAUUACUCAGAAUACCGAUUGCGAAGGCAGAUCACUAAUAAUAUACUGACGCUGAUGGAUGAAAGCGUAGGUAGCGAACAGG